GAGGGGGUGUCUGUCUGGCUUGUGUUUGACGACAUUGAUUGACUGUCAACUUCAGCCAGGCCCCGACGCCAUUGUAUGUACAGAUUGAAAUGAAGGAUCGGUAGAGCGAGAGGAGUCGAGAGAGAGAAGGGGGAGCAGCGAGAGAUGGAGAAUGAGGAGGGAGACGAGAGAGGAGGGAGAGAGAGAGACGGGAGAGCGAGAGGAGUGGGGGAGAGAGGAGUGGGAGGAAAGAGAGAGAGAGGAGGGACGCGGAGAGCAGAGAGGAGGGAGAGAGAGAGAGAGAGGAGGAGAGGAGAGCGGGCGAGCGAGAGGUAGAGAAGAGGAGGAGAGAGGAGGGAGAGAGAGAUGACGGGAGAGAGGGAGAGAGGGGAGCGAGAGAGGAGGAGAGAGAGAGAGGGAGGGAGAGAGAGAGGGGAGGAGGAGGAGGGAGAUAGGGGGAGAGAGGAGGGCAGAGAGAGAGAGAGAGAGGAGGGAGAGAGGAGGGAGAGAGAGGAGAGAGGGAGAGAGAGAGAGGAGAGGAGAGGGAGAGCGAGGAGGGAGAGAGAGGAGAGGAGGAGAGGAGAGAUGGAGAGCAGAGGGAGAGACGAAGAUGGAGGAGAGAGGAGAGGAGAGCAUAGAGGGAGAGGGAGGGGAGGCCGAGGAGGGCGGACGAGAGCGGGGGAGCGAGAGAGAGAGAGGGGGAGAGAGAUGAGGAGGGAGAGAGAGGAGAGGAGGAGGAGAGAGAGAGGGGAGAGAGAGAGGCGGGAGAGAGACAGAAAAAAAACAAAAACAACACAAAAAAAAAAAAAAACAAAAAAAAAAAAAAAACCAAAGAAAAAAAAAAAAAAAAAAAAAAAAAAAAACAAAAAAAAAACAAAAAAAAAAAAAAAAAACAAGAAAAACAAAAAAAAAAACAAAAAAAGAAAAAAAGAAAUUCCCAAAAAAAAAAAAAAAGUAGAGAAACGGAGAGCGGGAGAGAGAGAGGGGGGGGAGAGAGAGGGGGAGAAAGAUCGAGACGGAGAGGGUAACAACUUAGCAGAGAUAAUUAAGAUAGAUGCAUAAUUAGAGG
rnacentral:lncRNA from 1 species